rnacentral:rRNA from 1 species
GACGAACGCUGGCGGCGUGCUUAACACAUGCAAGUCGAACGGUGAAGCGCCUUCCUUUUUGGUGGGUGUGGAUGAGUGGCGAACGGGUGAGUAACACGUGAGUAACCUGCCCCCUUCUUCUGGAUAACCGCAUGAAAGUGUGGCUAAUACGGGAUAUUCUGGGUCUGUCGCAUGAUGGGUCUGGGAAAGAUAUUGUUUCGGUGGGGGAUGGGCUCGCGGCCUAUCAGCUUGUUGGUGGGGUGAUGGCCUACCAAGGCGGUGACGGGUAGCCGGCCUGAGAGGGUUGAAGGUCACACUGGGAAUGAGACACGGGCCAGACUCCUAAGGGAGGCAGCAGGGGGGAAUAUUGCACAAUGGGCGCAAGCCUGAUGCAGCGACGCCGCGUGAGGGAUGGAGGCCUUCGGGUUGUGAACCUCUUUCGCCAGUGAAGCAGGCCUGCCUCGUUUGUGGGUGGGUUGACGGUAGCUGGAUAAGAAGCGCCGGCUAACUACGUG